rnacentral:rRNA from 1 species
CCUACGGGAGGCAGCAGUGGGGAAUCUUGCGCAAUGGGGGAAACCCUGACGCAGCAACGCCGCGUGGGUGAUGAAGGCCUUCGGGUCGUAAAGCCCUGUCAGGUGGGAAGAAACUUGUGGAUGCUAAUAUCAUCCACACUUGACGGUACCACCGGAGGAAGCACCGGCUAACUCCGUGCCAGCAGCCGCGGUAAUACGGAGGGUGCAAGCGUUGUUCGGAAUUAUUGGGCGUAAAGCGCGUGUAGGUGGUCGGGCAAGUCAGAUGUGAAAGCCUUCUGCUUAACAGAAGAAGUGCAUUUGAAACUGCUUGGCUAGAGUACGGGAGAGGAGAGUGGAAUUCCCGGUGUAGAGGUGAAAUUCGUAGAUAUCGGGAGGAACACCAGUGGCGAAGGCGGCUCUCUGGUCCGAUACUGACGCUGAGACGCGAAAGCGUGGGGAGCAAACAGGAUUAGAUACCCUGGUAGUCCACGCCGUAAACGAUGGGCACUAGGUGUAGGAGGUAUUGACCCCUUCUGUGCCGAAGCUAACGCAUUAAGUGCCCCGCCUGGGGAGUACGGCCGCAAGGCUAAAACUCAAAGGAAUUGACGG